rnacentral:lncRNA from 1 species
GCUCCCCUCCUCGCUCUCUUCCACGCUUUCCUUCUCUUCCCUUCAUUCUUCUUCUUCUUCUUCAUUCUUUUUCUUCUUCUUUCUUUGCAGGCUCUGCUCCUCUCUAAACUCCCACUAUUUCCCAUGCCUCAUCUCCAUUUUCUUAUGGAAGCGAGGUUCUUGAAACCUCCAAAUCUUCCAUCAACAAAGACCCUGCUUUGGAUCCCUCACAUCAGCCUUGGACGUGAAGAAACCUCUCGCCAGCCCUCGCUUCACCGGCGCGGCCAGGUUUGCAUCCUUAUUUCUCCUCUUGCUUCGCUUUUUCUAUUGCUCGUCUGAGAUAUUUCUUCUCGAACAUCUGUUUCAAAUCUUAAAAGUUUGUUCUUCCUGUUGCAUAAUGCCUUUUGAUCUCAUUUAUGUUUUUUUCUUUCUUGCGGAUGAUUCAGGAGGCUUUGUGUGGCGAAACUAUUCGCAUGAAUGGAAUUUUAUCGUUGAACUCCUGCAGCGUUCGGUGCGGAGGAAGUAAUGGAUUCUUGUCAACUUUUUGUGCACCCCUUAGUUUCUUCAGAAUCUUGCUCGCAAUCGAAUUUUUGAGUGCUGGCAGAUGAAGGUUCGGUGAUCAUCCGACGGCAGGCGGCGGGGAGAGGUGCAGCAAGCAUGGAUGUGGCCAAGGGACGUCCGAAGAAACGAGGCAUGAGCAAAGGAUGGGAUGUCCAGAACCUGCGAAAGCUGCAGUGAGAACCCUGGAAGCAGGCUUAAUCAUGACGACGACUAAUGCGGUAAUGCCAACAUCAUGCUUAAUAAAAUAUCUCUUUUUUGUAAGAAAAAAAAUCGUAAGGAGCUAAUGUUUUCCUUGUGCUAAUGAUUUAUUUAUCCGCAGGUAGAAGAUUCAAAGGAUUGGUCAGAGUGAAAGCCCAAUCAGGUAUCUGACCGAAGUGGUCAUGUAAUUCCCAUGCAUUAUUUCCGGCAAGUCCUGCUUGUAACUGCAAUCUAUCAACCAAGCUCGGACCUUCCACCAGCCAGCGAGGUCAGCCAAUGCCGGAGCUCAGUUUUUGUAGAUCAUCCAUGGAUCAAGCUUCACUGUGAUUUGGAUGUCAUGAGUUCGGAACACAAAAACAAACCCUUCCUUAUACGGGAAGAAGACUGCAUACAUUUGAUCCUCCACAGACAAUUAACGCAAUAGCGGCACUAGUGCAACUUUUUUUUUAUAUUGAUAUUGUCAAUUAGAAUAUUUAAUGAGGGUGGAGCAAAUGAGUCUUCUUGUAAAAGUUAUAUAUAAUCCAGCUGUUGAACUAAUUUGUAUUGCACAAAAGCUGUUCUUUUUAUAUUUGAUGUAAUCCAAGUGUUUAUGUGGCAUUUUGCAUGCAAAUGAAUUUAAAAG